rnacentral:rRNA from 1 species
AUUGAACGCUGGCGGCAGGCCUAACACAUGCAAGUCGAGCGGAUGAAGGGAUCUUGCUCCUGGAUUCAGCGGCGGACGGGUGAGUAAUGCCUAGGAAUCUGCCUGGUAGUGGGGGAUAACGUCCGGAAACGGGCGCUAAUACCGCAUACGUCCUGAGGGAGAAAAUGGGGGAUCUUCGGACCUCACGCUAUCAGAUGAGCCUAGGUCGGAUUAGCUAGUUGGUGGGGUAAAGGCCUACCAAGGCGACGAUCCGUAACUGGUCUGAGAGGAUGAUCAGUCACACUGGAACUGAGACACGGUCCAGACUCCUACGGGAGGCAGCAGUGGGGAAUAUUGGACAAUGGGCGAAAGCCUGAUCCAGCAAUGCCGCGUGUGUGAAGAAGGUCUUCGGAUUGUAAAGCACUUUAAGUUGGGAGGAAGGGCAGUAAGUUAAUACCUUGCUGUCUUGACGUUACCAAAAGAAUAAGCACCGGCUAACUUCGUG